rnacentral:lncRNA from 10 species
CCACAAAACAGUGUUUAAUUGUCUAUACACAGUUCGGAGAAGAAAGAUUGUAUGAACAAGUAAGCAUGGUUUCAACAGAGAUGAUCCACAAAAGCUAACCGAUCCAGGUCACAAUACUGCAGAGACAGAGGAGAACGCUAGUCGGUCAAAGCAACUUUUCUUCUAUGCAGUGUUUCUGCACUCCCUUGGACAUCUAGAAAUCACUCUCUCUAUGCUUGGAAUGUAACUUAUACAUAACUCUAAUACAGUACCUAUCAAACUGUAUUACAGUUGUCUUAUCUGUAACAAAACCUAUUUAUUAUAUUAUAUAUUACUUUAAAAUGUUUCAUUUAGAUAUCUUCAGUAUCUAGCAAAGUGGGCAGUGGGUGCAUACUUAGUUUGCUGAGUGUCUCCUAAAUCUCAGCAUAUUCUAUGUUGAAUAAAUAUUUAUUGAUACUUAUGGCCCAAUGUUGUUGUUACUAAAUUGGCUCUUAUGUUCUCAUCAUUUCAAAGUCUUCAUUUUAGUUUCAUGGUUUAAAUUAGGAGUUGCUAAAAAAUGUUCAUGCCUCAAUCUCCAGAUUCUUGACAAAAUACUAAUGAUUUAUAGGAAGGCCAAAAG